rnacentral:lncRNA from 1 species
GUGGGCGCCUGCUAGCUCCGGCUCGCGGUGUUAGGCCUUGGGGACAUCGCUCGGGGACAGGAGAGCCCCGGGCCCCCGCCGCCCCGAGCCGUGGCCGGGAAGGGGAACACAGUCCAUGCGUGCGGCGCCCGACAGCCUCUCCCCGCACGCCCGAGCCCCAGUGCAGGCGGCGGCCCGGCCCCUUUGUGCCUGGAGUGUCACGCGCGGGCGCUCCUGCCGCCGCGCCUGGGAGAGGCCUCCGGCACCCCGGGCCCCUUUCCAAGCACAACAGCAGCCCUGCCGCGGCCCCGCGCUGACCCACUUUCCCUCCUGCCUCCUCAGCCCGAGGCCGAGAAUCCAGCGGCCGCCGCCAAGCAGAUCUCAUCCCAUCAGUUGAAGACCUUAAGAGAAAAGAGACUGACCUGCUCUGAGCAAGGAGGAAUUCUGCUGGCCAACUGCUUGUGAACUCCAACUUGUAAUAUCGGUCUCCAGCCUACCGGCUUACUCUGCAGAUUUUGGAUUUGCCAAGCCUCCACAACCGCAGAAGCCAAUUCCUUAAAAUGAAUCCCUUACAACAGUUCCCUAAAAUAAAUUCUUCAAAAUUCCUUAAAAUAAAUGUGUGUGCAU